rnacentral:lncRNA from 10 species
UCGCCAAAGAAUGACUGCAGCAAAACCGGUGGGGAAAGGGACAGCCAAAUCAGGCUAUUUAAUGCAUGCGACAAGCAUUCACUUCCGGGGUGAAGAAUUCCUUUCCGGCCUACAGACCCCGCCCUCACAAAACUGCGGGCAAGUGAAGCGUGCUUCAGCCUCUUCCUCCCCGCGCCUGUCAGUUCACUCUCACUCGCUCAUUCACUGCAGCAUGAGCAUGCCGAGGACCGUGCCAGAUCCUGGGUUCCUCGGGGCAGUGAGGGGCCGGAUUAAUCUAUGCCUCCGUCCUUACCCGUGACCUGUGCACUUGAACAUCCUAUUCCAAGACAGAAAAGUACUCACGGGGUAGCUCCAGGGACCAGCAGCUCCGGCAGGGACCCCCAGGGAACAGGGCUGCCUGCCAACUGGGACCCCAAAGGCUGCUGGUGAGCCCAGGGCAAGGCCGCUGCACCUGCGCCAGGGAUGCUUGAAAUCCACCGAAAGGGGACAGCCACGUGCUUCCCCUCAGGGAUGGAGAGCCUGAGUUGGGUGUGGACCUCAACACUUCCUGAAAGUGAAAACUGAAAGUGUUUGGACAAACUGAGGAGAAAUCACCUGCCACCUGGACUCCGAUUGCACACACAUAGACCUAUUUAUUUAUUUGUCAUCAGAUGCUAUCCAGGAUAUAGAGUGUGCCCAAGAGAAGGAGCUGUCAGUUUCUCCCUAUCCAAAGUUGGUUGCUACACAAAUGACUGGAAUGAACCAUGGGCCAAGAGAAUGUGAGGGCACAAGAAUGGCCAGACACAAUCCUCUCCUUGCACUCCCCAGACCCACUCAGGCUUUCCAUUAAAACUUGUCUGCCAAGAACCUUCAGGGUAUGAGCUGACCACAGUCUCUUCCACAGACUUAAUACAGGAAGAAUAUGGGAGGAAGAGUGGAAGAAACUUCUGACCCACUACUCCAACUGAUCCGUCCUCCAGGACUCAUUCUCAAUAUCCUCAUUCUUGGCUACCAGUUCAGCAGGUCUAAGCUGAUGACCUGGUGAAGUAACCCAGACCUUCAUCUCUAAGAAUCGGAGUAUUUAGUUGCCUUACCAUUGUUGGGCAUUUAUAGUUAUUGAGGGCAUGGAAGUAUGGAGACAUCUCAUUGAAUUUCCUGGCUUCCAGACAUGUAUCUUCCUGCCUUUGUUAUGUAGCAGCAACUCUGACUCUCUAUGGUAACAAACACAAAACUCCCGUCUUUAUCUGAUGAUCCACUAUCAUGAACUAUUCAAAAUGACCUGGCAGUGGUCAUGGUUUCAAGUUCAGUGGUAUUCUUAUCAUAUCAUCCAGAAAUGCAUCUCCACCCUUACCCUAGGAACCAGGACCUCUAAUCCAGUAGAGCAAUAAGCUGACAAGAAUAAGAAGUACUAAUUCUGCAAAUGAGUCACUGGGAGUGAUGGAGCCAAUCUUAUUUCUAUUCCUUGUUUCCUGAACCUGUGUAUUCUGUUAGACAAAGUACCAUAUAUUGAUUGUUGCUUCAAUAAAUACAACUUCACCCUGAAGACAGCAAC